UUCUCGACAGAAAGUUGUGAGCAAAGCUAAGAGGAAGCUAAUUUUCACGACGGAGAAAGGAUCCAGUCAUGGUCGAAAACGAGUAGAAGGCACCUCGCCUAGAACUCAAUACCGAGACGACCAAGAUGAAAAGGCCUCCCGACUGGUUAAGAUGACAGAAGAAACAGAUAGGGCCAUGGAGGCACUUACGAAGCAAAGGUAGGAUAUAGCUGAGCAGAUGUCUCGGAUGGAAGAGUUGAGAGAUGAAGCGUCCAGUUACGUUCGGUUCGAAGAGUGUGGGCAUCGAAGUGGGAAGGAACCUGCUCAUUCAGG
rnacentral:lncRNA from 1 species